AGCAGCUGCGGUAAUUCCAGCUCCAAUAGCGUAUAUUAAAGUUGUUGCAGUUAAAAAGCUCGUAGUUGAAUUUCGGGAUCAAUAUGUUGGUCGUGCCUUGGUACGCACUAGUUUAUUGGUUUCUUCCUUCUGACGAACCAUGAUGUCAUUAAUUUGGUGUCUUGGGGAAUCAGGACUGUUACUUUGAAAAAUUAGAGUGUUUAAAGCAGGCUCACGCUUGAAUACAUUAGCAUGGAAUAAUGAAAUAGGACGUUUGAUUCUAUUUUGUUGGUUUCUAGGAUCGACGUAAUGAUUAAUAGGGAUAGUUGGGGGCAUUAGUACUCAAUUGUCAGAGGUGAAAUUCUUGGAUUUAUUGAAGACUAACUACUGCGAAAGCAUUUGCCAAGGAUGUUUUCAUUAAUCAAGAACGAAAGUUAGGGGAUCGAAGACGAUCAGAUACCGUCGUAGUCU
rnacentral:rRNA from 1 species